AAGCUCCAGAGCAUCCAGGAAACACGGGAUAGAGAUCUGGGGAGGAACAGGGAGUGGGGCUCAUUCCUGAGGGUGACACUUGUUUUGCCAGCUGAGAGAGGCAGAACUCUAAAUUGGAAAUAGAAAAGGGACAGUUAUCCAACUUUUUACCACCAAAACCUAAAACUGGCACCAUCGAGCUGAGAGCAAAGCUGGUUUGGCUUGGUUUUUUUUUUGUUGUUGUUGUUUGAUUUGGGGUUUUUUUUGUUUGUUUGUUUGGGUUUGAAGUUCCUAGAGGAGCACAUCUGUAGCAGCACAAGUACAGGCUCCCUCUGGUGGCUCAUUUCCAUAAAUGACAGCUUUUUUCCCCAAAAAAAUCCCCAUUCGGUGCAGUCCAACCAAUUGGAGUUGGCUGCCCCAUUCGGUGCAGUCCAACCAAUUGGAGUUGGCUGGAUGAGGUGGAACCUGUUUGAGAGCACGAGUAAGUUCCAGUAUAAUGUUUCUGAAUGCACAGAAAACCUGACCAGCCUCCAAAAACCAAGGAGGAGGGAAAGAUUUAACCUCUGUGUGAAGUAAACAGGUAAUAAUUUAUAAAAACAUUUUUAAAACCAUAUUUUGGAGGAGGGCCAAUAUUUUUUCAAGCACAUGCAUAUUUUUUAUUUUUUUUUUGCAAUAUUUGAUGACUUGACUUGUCAAGCUUAUUUUUUGCUAGUCCUGAUCCUAAGCUAUUAACUUUAUUCUGAGCAUUCAGUAGAAUAAUCAUUGAGUAAAACAGAGAAAUGUUUACCCAAUAUUUUUGUAAGAUGUAUGAUGAGCAAAAGGAAAGUUUUGUGGACCAAAGAUACUCAUAACUGAGGCAGAUUUGUACCAUUUCAGAGGAGGUCCUAAUGUGGGCCCUGCAUUUCACACAGUGAUGCUCUGCAGGACUUUAAGGUGACUGAGCAGCCCAAGAAGUGAAGAAAUUGUAAAUUAUUGGAAAAGAAUUGGUUUUUCUGAAGUGGACACACAGUGUUAAAGAGAGAGUCCCAAGAAUUCCUGGAUCACAGAAGGACCUGUGGGUUUUGGCUGGGAUAAUACUUCCCAGAAAAUAAAAUUUCACCCUUAAAGAAAUCCCUGUUAACC
rnacentral:lncRNA from 1 species